GAUGAAGAACGUAGCGAAAUGCGAUAAGUAAUGUGAAUUGCAGAAUUCAGUGAAUCAUCGAAUCUUUGAACGCACAUUGCGCCCGCCAGCAUUCUGGCGGGCAUGCCUGUUCGAGCGUCAUUUCAACCCUCGACCUCCCCUUGGGGAGGUCGGCGUUGGGGACCGGCAGCACACCGCCGGCCCUGAAAUGGAGUGGCGGCCCGUCUGCGGCGACCUCUGCGUAGUAAUACAGCUCGCACCGGAACCCCGACGCGGCCACGCCGUAAAACACCCAACUUCUGAACGUUGACCUCGAAUCAGGUAGGACUACCCGCUGAACUUAAGCAUAUCAAUAAGCGGAGGG
rnacentral:misc_RNA from 1 species